UACGUAGGGGCAAGCGUUGUCCGGAAUUACUGGGCGUAAAGCGCACGCAGGCUGAAUUAUAAGUCGGUAGUAAAAGGCGGGGGCUCAACUUCCGUAUAUCUAUCGAUACUGUAAAUCUAGAGUAUGUGAGAGGGAAGCGGAAUUCCUGGUGUAGCGGUGAAAUGCGCAGAUAUCAGGAAGAACACCAGUGGCGAAGGCGGCUUUCUAGGCCGUUACUGACGCUGAGGCGCGAAAGCUAGGGGAGCGAACAGGAUUAGAUACCCCCGGUAGUCCCU
rnacentral:rRNA from 1 species